rnacentral:ncRNA from 2 species
AUGUACCACAAGGGGAGCCGAGUAAGUCGGCUGAGAUUGUGCACAGAAUCUGCACUGACUCUUAGAACCUGUAAGUUAACACUUGCGUAGGGAUGUGGAUGGAAACCGAC